rnacentral:rRNA from 1 species
CCUACGGGCGGCAGCAGUGGGGAAUAUUGGACAAUGGGGGCAACCCUGAUCCAGCCAUGCCGCGUGUGUGAAGAAGGCCCUCGGGUUGUAAAGCACUUUCAGUGAGGAAGAACGCCUGGUGGUUAAUACCCAUCAGGAAAGACAUCACUCACAGAAGAAGCACCGGCUAACUCCGUGCCAGCAGCCGCGGUAAUACGGAGGGUGCGAGCGUUAAUCGGAAUUACUGGGCGUAAAGCGCGCGUAGGUGGCUUGAUAAGCCGGUUGUGAAAGCCCCGGGCUCAACCUGGGAACGGCAUCCGGAACUGUCAAGCUAGGGUGCAGGAGAGGAAGGUAGAAUUCCCGGUGUAGCGGUGAAAUGCGUAGAGAUCGGGAGGAAUACCAGUGGCGAAGGCGGCCUUCUGGACUGACACUGACACUGAGGUGCGAAAGCGUGGGUAGCAAACAGGAUUAGAUAUCCUAGUAGUC